rnacentral:rRNA from 1 species
CAGUAGCCGCGGGAAUACGAAGGUCCCGAGCGUUGUUCGGAAUCACUGGGCGUAAAGGGAGCGUAGGCGGCGUGGUAAGUCAGAUGUGAAAUCCCGGGGCUCAACCCCGGAACUGCAUCCGAUACUGCCAUGCUAGAGGAUUGGAGAGGUAGCUGGGAUUCUUGGUGUAGCAGUGAAAUGCGUGGAGAUCAAGAGGAACACUCGUGGCGAAAGCGAGCUACUGGACAAUAACUGACGCUGAGGCUCGAAGGCCAGGGUAGCGAAAGGGAUUAGAUACCCCCGUAGUCCCUGUCUCUUAUAC